UACGUAGGGUGCAAGCGUUGUCCGGAAUUAUUGGGCGUAAAGAGCUCGUAGGCGGUUUGUCGCGUCUGCUGUGAAAUCCCGAGGCUCAACCUCGGGCUUGCAGUGGGUACGGGCAGACUAGAGUGCGGUAGGGGAGACUGGAAUUCCUGGUGUAGCGGUGGAAUGCGCAGAUAUCAGGAGGAACACCGAUGGCGAAGGCAGGUCUCUGGGCCGCAACUGACGCU
rnacentral:rRNA from 1 species